rnacentral:rRNA from 1 species
CAGUCUGCAUGGAGCCGACCUUGAAAUACCACCCUUUAAUGUUUGAUGUUCUAACGUGGACCCGUGAUCCGGGUUGCGGACAGUGUCUGGUGGGUAGUUUGACUGGGGCGGUCUCCUCCUAAAGAGUAACGGAGGAGCACGAAGGUUGGCUAAUCCUGGUCGGACAUCAGGAGGUUAGUGCAAUGGCAUAAGCCAGCUUGACUGCGAGCGUGACGGCGCGAGCAGGUGCGAAAGCAGGUCAUAGUGAUCCGGUGGUUCUGAAUGGAAGGGCCAUCGCUCAACGGAUAAAAGGUACUCCGGGGAUAACAGGCUGAUACCGCCCAAGAGUUCAUAUCGACGGCGGUGUUUGGCACCUCGAUGUCGGCUCAUCACAUCCUGGGGCUGAAGUAGGUCCCAAGGGUAUGGCUGUUCGCCAUUUAAAGUGGUACGCGAGCUGGGUUUAGAACGUCGUGAGACAGUUCGGUCCCUAUCUGCCGUGGGCGCUGGAGAACUGAGGGGGGCUGCUCCUAGUACGAGAGGACCGGAGUGGACGCAUCACUGGUGUUCGGGUUGUCAUGCCAAUGGCACU